rnacentral:rRNA from 1 species
GAGUUUGAUCCUGGCUCAGAACGUACGCUGGCGGCACGCCUAACACAUGCAAGUCGAACGCAGUAGCAAUACUGAGUGGCAGACGGGUGAGUAACAUGUGGGAAUCUGCCUUGUGGUUCAGGACAACAUUGGGAAACCGAUGCUAAUACUGGAUAAGCCCUUACGGGGAAAGUUUUAAUGCCAUAAGAUGAGCCCGCAUUUGAUUAGUUAGUUGGUGAGGUAAUGGCUCACCAAGACAAUGAUCAAUAGCUGAUCUGAGAGGAUGAUCAGCCACACUGGGACUGAGACACGGCCCAGACUCCUACGGGAGGCAGCAGUGGGGAAUCUUGCACAAUGGAGGAAACUCUGAUGCAGCGAUGCCGCGUGAGUGAAGAAGGCCUUUGGGUUGUAAAGCUCUUUUGUAGGGGAAGAUAAUGACUGUACCCUAAGAAUAAGGUCCGGCUAACUUCGUGCCAGCAGCCGCGGUAAUACGAAGGGACCUAGCGUAGUUCGGAAUUACUGGGCGUAAAGCGCGCGUAGGCCGUUGAGUUAGUUAAUUGUGAAAUCCCAAAGCUUAACUUUGGAACUGCAAUUAAAACUGCUCGACUAGAGUUUGAUAGAGGAAAGCGGAAUACAUAGUGUAGAGGUGAAAUUCGUAGAUAUUAUGUAGAACACCAGUUGCGAAGGCGGCUUUCUGGAUCAACACUGACGCUGAGGCGCGAAAGUAUGGGUAGCAAAGAGGAUUA